rnacentral:rRNA from 1 species
UCGAACGGCAGCACGGAAGAGCUUGCUCUUUUGGUGGCGAGUGGCGAACGGGUGAGUAAUACAUCGGAACGUACCGAGUAGUGGGGGAUAACUGUCCGAAAGGAUGGCUAAUACCGCAUAUACUCUGAGGAGGAAAGCAGGGGACCUUCGGGCCUUGCGCUAUUUGAGCGGCCGAUGUCUGAUUAGCUAGUUGGUGGGGUAAAGGCCUACCAAGGCGACGAUCAGUAGCGGGUCUGAGAGGAUGAUCCGCCACACUGGGACUGAGACACGGCCCAGACUCCUACGGGAGGCAGCAGUGGGGAAUUUUGGACAAUGGGGGGAACCCUGAUCCAGCCAUGCCGCGUGUCUGAAGAAGGCCUUCGGGUUGUAAAGGACUUUUGUCAGGGAAGAAAAGGUUGUGGUUAAUACCCAUGACUGAUGACGGUACCUGAAGAAUAAGCACCGGCUAACUACGUGCCAGCAGCCGCGGUAAUACGUAGGGUGCGAGCGUUAAUCGGAAUUACUGGGCGUAAAGCGGGCGCAGACGGUUACUUAAGUCAGAUGUGAAAUCCCCGGGCUUAACCUGGGAACUGCGUUUGAAACUGGGUGACUAGAGUAUGUCAGAGGGGGGUAGAAUUCCACGUGUAGCAGUGAAAUGCGUAGAGAUGUGGAGGAAUACCGAUGGCGAAGGCAGCCCCCUGGGAUGAUACUGACGUUCAUGCCCGAAAGCGUGGGUAGCAAACAGGAUUAGAUACCCUGGUAGUCCACGCCCUAAACGAUGUCAAUUAGCUGUUGGGGGCACUUGAUGCCUUAGUAGCGUAGCUACGCGUGAAAUUGACCGCCUGGGGGAGUACGGUCGCAAGAUUAAAACUCAAAGGAAUUGACGGGGACCCGCACAGCGGUGGAUGAUGUGGAUUAAUUC